rnacentral:rRNA from 1 species
UACGUGGGGCGCAAGCGUUGUCCGGAAUUAUUGGGCGUAAAGAGCUCGUAGGCGGCUUGUCACGUCGGGUGUGAAAGCCCGGGGCUUAACCCCGGGUCUGCAUUCGAUACGGGCUAGCUAGAGUGUGGUAGGGGAGAUCGGAAUUCCUGGUGUAGCGGUGAAAUGCGCAGAUAUCUGGAGGAACACCGGUGGCGAAGGCGGCAUCCUGGACCAACACUGACGCUGAGGAGCGAAAGCCAGGGGAGCAAACGGG